rnacentral:rRNA from 1 species
GAUGAACGCUAGCUACAGGCUUAACACAUGCAAGUCGAGGGGUAACGAGAGGAAAGCUUGCUUUCCUUGUCGACGACCGGCGCACGGGUGAGUAACGCGUAUCCAACCUGCCCCCAACUAGGGAAUAACCUUGCGAAAGUAAGACUAAUACCCUAUAAUUUCCUCAGAUGCCAUCUGACGAGGAAUAACGAUUUAUCGGUUGUGGAUGGGGAUGCGUCUGAUUAGCUUGUUGGCGGGGUAACGGCCCACCAAGGCAACGAUCAGUAGGGGUUCUGAGAGGAAGGUCCCCCACAUUGGAACUGAGACACGGUCCAAACUCCUACGGGAGGCAGCAGUGAGGAAUAUUGGUCAAUGGGCGGAAGCCUGAACCAGCCAAGUAGCGUGCAGAAUGACGGCCCUAUGGGUUGUAAACUGCUUUUAUACAGGAAUAAAGUUAGCCACGUGUGGUUAUUUGUAGGUACUGUAUGAAUAAGGACCGGCUAAUUCCGUGCCAGCCGCCGCAGUAAUAC